rnacentral:rRNA from 1 species
UGGGGAAUAUUGGACAAUGGGGGCAACCCUGAUCCAGCAAUGCCGCGUGUGUGAAGAAGGUCUUCGGAUUGUAAAGCACUUUCGACGGGGACGAUGAUGACGGUACCCGUAGAAGAAGCCCCGGCUAACUUCGUGCCAGCAGCCGCGGUAAUACGAAGGGGGCUAGCGUUGCUCGGAAUGACUGGGCGUAAAGGGCGUGUAGGCGGUUUACACAGUCAGAUGUGAAAUCCCCGGGCUUAACCUGGGAGCUGCAUUUGAUACGUGUAGACUAGAGUGUGAGAGAGGGUUGUGGAAUUCCCAGUGUAGAGGUGAAAUUCGUAGAUAUUGGGAAGAACACCGGUGGCGAAGGCGG